CCCCUCGAGGAUGCCAUUGAGGAUGAAGAAGAAGAGUGCCUGUCUGAGGAAAAUGAUACUGUCUCAAAAGAAGACUUUCCAUUGGAGGAAAGCUUUUCUACAGAGUUUGAGCCUGAAAAUCUGAGCUGUGAAGAAGUGGAAUACUUUUGUAAUAAAGGCAAUGAGGAAGGCAUCCAGGAGGCACCAGAAUCUGAUGGUGAUGCAAAGUCAGAGAAACCAGGGCAGCUUGCAGUGGAGACAGAAGAUUGGGAUGGGCCAGGAUAUUAACAGAUAAGUACUAGAAGACAGAUCUGGAGUAAAAAAAUGUUUUGUCUAAACCAUUUUGUGAAUCGUUUAUCAUGAAAUAUCUUACAUACCUAUUGUUAUAAACGAAAAUGUUGUUGCUGCUCAGAAUUCUAAGAUAAAAAUUUGUCAUUAAAUUCGCAGUUUCAUGGUUGUGUUAAGUUUUUCUGUUAUAUUUUCUGAUGCUUGAUGAAAUGCCACUAUCCUCCUCCAAGCUUUAUGCCUACAUUUAGCAGCAUGUUGGGCUUAACAAAGGGAUAGGAACUACUGACAUUUUUAAGGACUGUUUACCAGUUUUAGGUGGAUAUAAAUCACUUAGCACACCUGGUCAAUGAUUUCAUUUGAAAGAGAAACUCUGAGAUUGCAGUCAAUACUGUUAGAACUCCACAUUAAAACAUUGAUUCACAGCAACAUUUUUUAUUAUGUACUUUAAGAGAGGACAAGCACAGUAUUACUAUUACAUUUGACGGUAGCAUACGAAAACUUUCUAAAUAUCUGUUCUAUGUAAAUAUGUAAAGUCUAUGUCAUGUAAUAAAAGCAUCUAAGACAAAGGGUUAAAUUGUAUUUCUGAACUAGGCAAUUCUACAGUUAAAUCCAGUGCAAUGUCUUCAUAGUAAGGACUCUAGAAUGGGCUUUGAAAAUCCACUACAUUUAAUAUAUUUUAAAAGUGCAGUUGGAAAAUGUGCAUUUGAAGCUAUAUAUACUCUCAGAAUGGCUAUAUCUCUAAUGGACAUUUUCCCUAAAAAGGAUGAACAUGUCAGAAAAGAGUUUCAGAAGCGUUUUAUCAAUAAUUUAUAAUGCAAUAAUAAUAUUUCAUUAGAAAAAAUUCCUAUAUUUCAGUCACAUUUUCACCCUUGCUUGAUUUUGCAAAUUACAAUAUAUGCACUUCAUAAAGAGAAGAACAACAGUAAUGGUAAUUUUCUGAAACCAGAAGCUAGAAAAUAUAAUGCAAACAAAAAGGAAGACAUAGUGUAUAUAAUUAAUAUGAUGUCAUUUUAAAUAUUUUUAAUGAUAAUACACAAGUUGAAGCUACGUAAAGCACUGUGGUGUUAUAUGAAAACAAGAUUUUCUAAUAAAAAACACUAACAUACACUUAAAAUAACACAGAAGACAUCUUUAGAUGUAGCAGAACAGCCUUUUCCAGCUUCAUUGCAGAUUUA